rnacentral:rRNA from 1 species
AUUGAACGCUGGCGGCAGGCCUAACACAUGCAAGUCGGACGGUAGCACAGAGAGCUUGCUCUUGGGUGACGAGUGGCGGACGGGUGAGUAAUGUCUGGGGAUCUGCCCGAUAGAGGGGGAUAACCACUGGAAACGGUGGCUAAUACCGCAUAACGUCGCAAGACCAAAGAGGGGGACCUUCGGGCCUCUCACUAUCGGAUGAACCCAGAUGGGAUUAGCUAGUAGGCGGGGUAAUGGCCCACCUAGGCGACGAUCCCUAGCUGGUCUGAGAGGCUGACCAGCCACACUGGAACUGAGACACGGUCCAGACUCCUACGGGAGGCAGCAGUGGGGAAUAUUGCACAAUGGGCGCAAGCCUGAUGCAGCCAUGCCGCGUGUAUGAAGAAGGCCUUCGGGUUGUAAAGUACUUUCAGCGGGGAGGAAGGCGGUGAGGUUAAUAACCUUGCCGAUUGACGUUACCCGCAGAAGAAGCACCGGCUAACUCCGUGCCAGCAGCCGCGGUAA